GGUAAAUCUCGUGCCAGCCACCGCGGUCAUACGAUUAACCCAAAUUAAUAGAUCCACGGCGUAAAGAGUGUUUAAGAAAAAAAAAUCACAAUAGAGUUAAAUUAUAACUAAGCUGUAAAAAGCCCUAGUUAAAAUAAAAUAACCCACGAAAGUGACUCUAAUAAUCCUGACACACGAUAGCUAGGACCCAAACUGGGAUUAGAUACCCCACUAUGCCUAGCCCUAAACCCAAAUAGUUACAUAACAAAACUAUUCGCCAGAGUACUACUCGCAACUGCCUAAAACUCAAAGGACUUGGCGGUGCUUCACAUCCACCUAGAGGAGCCUGUUCUAUAAUCGAUAAACCCCGAUAGACCUUACCAACCCUUGCCAAUUCAGCCUAUAUACCGCCAUCUUCAGCAAACCCUAAAAAGGAACAAUAGUAAGCACAAUCAUAGCACAUAAAAACGUUAGGUCAAGGUGUAGCUUAUGGGUUGGAAAGAAAUGGGCUACAUUUUCUACAUAAGAAUAUCCACCACACGAAAGUUUUUAUGAAACUAAAAACCAAAGGAGGAUUUAGCAGUAAAUCAAGAAUAGAGUGCUUGAUUGAAUAAGGCCAUGAAGCACGCACACACCGCCCGUCACCCUCCUCAAGCAUGUAGUAAUAAAAAUAACCUAUAUUCAAUUACACAACCAUGCAAGAAGAGACAAGUCGUAACAAGGUAAGCAUACUGGA
rnacentral:rRNA from 1 species